UUAUUGUUUUAAUGAUUUUAGUAUGCACAAAACACAUGCACCUAAACCUUUGGCUAGGAGCUGUAGGGACAUGCAUUUACCUGUCUUUACAUCUGACCUCUGACCAGGGACAGUGACGAUCAACCAAUAGACUGGCCAGCUGUGUUUGACCCAGUUGGUGGCUAUUCACUGUCGCUCACCUGUCAUUCCUUGACACAUCACGAGCUGCACAGGCCACGCACUCAUCUGCUUUAAUCUUACACUGGAAUAAUUGACGUUUGACGCUUUUUCAUCAUGUUACCGCCCUAAAGCCCACAGCUAAAGGGUUUGUUUGACUAUCUGUUCAAAUUUUCUGGAAUAAAGAACUCUAUUAAACCACUUCACCGAGUCCAGUUGUCUUUUCGGGGGAAGUAACAAUGGAGCCGACGUUUCAGUUUCUGGAGAUACGGAGAUAGUCGUCUGACAUCGGGAAUCGUCUGUACUUGCCGGUGAAUGUGAACAUCGUCUAACAUCGGGAGUCUUCGUUUGUUGCCGGAACCAGUCAACUUCGGGAACCAUCGGACAUCCUUGGGAUUGGAGGUCAAGGCUGCUGUACCUUCGGUUCAUCGUUGGAUGUUUCGUGGAUAAUGUGAUUUGACAUUAACUGAUGUGAACAGAAAAUUUGUGAACAUUUUUAUUUUUAUGUGCUAAAUAUUGUGAUAUGUUGAUGCAAGUUUGUGAUGACGUGAGUAACACAUUUUAUUUUUAAAG